CUACGGGGUGCUGCAGUGAGGAAUUUUGCGCAAUGGGGGAAACCCUGACGCAGCAACGCCGCGUGAGUGAUGAAGGCUUUCGGGUCGUAAAGCUCUGUCAAGUGGGAAGAAUCUGCUUUAUGUUAAUAUCAUAUGGCACUGACGGUACCACUGGAGGAAGCACCGGCUAACUCCGUGCCAGCAGCCGCGGUAAUACGGAGGGUGCGAAGCGUUACUCGGAAUCACUGGGCGUAAAGGGCGCGCAGGCGGUUCGAUUAGUCAGAUGGGAAAGCCCGGGGCUUAACCCCGGAAGUGCAUUUGAAACUGUCGAACUUGAGUAUGGGAGAGGGAAGUGGAAUUCCUGGUGUAGAGGUGAAAUUCGUAGAUAUCAGGAGGAACACCGGUGGCGAAGGCGACUUCCUGGACCAAUACUGACGCUGAGGCGCGAAGGCGUGGGGAGCAAACAGGAUUAGAUACCCCAGUAGUC
rnacentral:rRNA from 1 species